AAAUAGGUCACAUCUUAAAAAAGCUCUU
rnacentral:rRNA from 1 species